rnacentral:lncRNA from 1 species
AGGACUCCAUUGAGUUGUAUAUUGUCUAGAUGAAAAUAUUUGUAUUAAAACUCAUAGAAUAUGUUUAGUCGUAUUCUACACGACUGUUGUAUAAUUAAGUUUGUAUUUGAAUUAUGUACCAUGUAUUUGGCGACUCAAGAUGGGUGAUGUAUACCUAUUUUGGGGACGUCACAUCUGUACUACGUGAGUAAUAUUAUUUUGUCUCGUAUUCCUG